GAACAUUUAUAGCGCGAUCGAAAAAUCUUGGUUCUUUGGUAAGAAAAAUAUUUUAUUUUGUUGAACUAAUGGGAAACAAAAUGAAGAUGUUUUUAGCAAAGAAAAGAAAACGCAAAAAUGUAGAAAAUUUGGAAAGUUUGGAAAAGGCAAGAGAGGCCAAAAUGUUGCUAUAAUUAUCACUGUUAUCCUUACUUCAACUAUUUUUUUCAUUUAAUUACUUACUUAGUCUUACAAAUAACAUGUUUUGUGUGGUUUCUGUUUGUAUUUCAGGCAAUAUAAAAGUAAAUCAACUGAAGAAACAAUAACGGAAAAAGAUGAAUGUGAAAACCAACACGCAGAAAAGAGAAAAGAACGACCAACAACUAUGGAGUUUUGGUCGCGAUUACUUAAGGAGGUAUCCAGUUCUGA